GAGUUUGAUCAUGGCUCAGAACGAACGCUGGCGGCAUGCCUAACACAUGCAAGUCGAACGAAGGCUUCGGCCUUAGUGGCGCACGGGUGCGUAACGCGUGGGAAUCUGCCCUUUGCUUCGGAAUAACAGUGGGAAACUACUGCUAAUACCGGAUGAUGUCUUCGGACCAAAGAUUUAUCGGCAAGGGAUGAGCCCGCGUAGGAUUAGGUAGUUGGUGGGGUAAAGGCCUACCAAGCCGACGAUCCUUAGCUGGUCUGAGAGGAUGAUCAGCCACACUGGGACUGAGACACGGCCCAGACUCCUACGGGAGGCAGCAGUGGGGAAUAUUGGACAAUGGGGGAACCCUGAUCCAGCAAUGCCGCGUGAGUGAUGAAGGCCUUAGGGUUGUAAAGCUCUUUUACCAGGGAUGAUAAUGACAGUACCUGGAGAAUAAGCUCCGGCUAACUCCGUGCCAGCAGCCGCGGUAAC
rnacentral:rRNA from 1 species